rnacentral:misc_RNA from 1 species
GAUGAAGAACGUAGCGAAAUGCGAUAAGUAAUGUGAAUUGCAGAAUUCAGUGAAUCAUCGAAUCUUUGAACGCACAUUGCGCCCGCCAGUAUUCUGGCGGGCAUGCCUGUCUGAGCGUCAUUUACACCCUCAAGCUCAGCUUGGUGUUGGGCGUCUGUCCCGCUUCGUGCGCGGACUCGCCUCAAAUGCAUUGGCAGCGGUCUUGCCAGCUUCUCGCGCAGCACAUUGCGCUUCUAGAGGCUUUGGCGGAUCGGCGUCCAUCAAGUACACCCACAGUUUGACCUCGGAUCAGGUAGGGAUACCCGCUGAACUUAAGCAUAUCAAUAAGCGGAGGA